rnacentral:rRNA from 1 species
GACAGAGGGUGCAAACGUUGUUCGGAUUUACUGGGCGUAAAGCGCGCGCAGGCGGUUCUUUAAGUCUGAUGUGAAAGCCCCCGGCUCAACCGGGGAGGGUCGUCGGGGACCGCACCGCUUGAGGGCGGUAGGGGCUGGUGGAAUGCCUGGUGUAGUGGUGAAAUGCGUAGAGAUCAGGCGGAACACCCGUGGCGAAGGCGGCCAGCUGGGCCGUCCCUGACGCUGAGGCGCGAAGGCGUGGGGAGCGAACGG